rnacentral:rRNA from 1 species
UACGGAGGGGGCUAGCGUUGUUCGGAAUUACUGGGCGUAAAGCGCACGUAGGCGGCUUUGUAAGUUAGAGGUGAAAGCCCGGGGCUCAACUCCGGAAUUGCCUUUAAGACUGCAUCGCUAGAAUUGUGGAGAGGUAAGUGGAAUUCCGAGUGUAGAGGUGAAAUUCGUAGAUAUUCGGAAGAACACCAGUGGCGAAGGCGGCUACCUGGACCAGCAUUGACACUCAAGCACGAAAGCGUGGGGAGCAAACAGG